rnacentral:rRNA from 1 species
AUUGAACGCUGGCGGCAGGCCUAACACAUGCAAGUCGAGCGGAUGAAGGGAGCUUGCGCCUGGAUUCAGCGGCGGACGGGCGAGUAAUGCCUAGGAAUCUGCCUGGUAGUGGGGGAUAACGUCCGGAAACGGGCGCUAAUACCGCACACGUCCUGAGGGAGAAAGUGGGGGAUCUUCGGACCUCACGCUAUCAGAUGAGACUAGGUCGGUUUAGCUAGUUUGUGGGGUAAAGGCCUACCAAGGCGACGAUCCGUAACUGGUCUGAGAGGAUGAUCAGUCACACUGGAACUGAGACACGGUCCAGACUCCUACGGGAGGCAGCAGUGGGGAAUAUUGGACGAUGGGCGAAAGCCUGAUCCAGCCAUGCCGCGUGUGUGAAGAAGGUCUUCGGAUUGUAAAGCACUUUAAGUUGGGAGGAAGGGCAGUAAGUUAAUACCUUGCUGUUUUGACGUUACCAACAGAAUAAGCACCGGCUAACUUCGUG